GUACAUCCUACGGGAGGCAGCAGUGGGGAAUUUUGGACAAUGGGCGAAAGCCUGAUCCAGCAAUGCCGCGUGAGUGAAGAAGGCCUUCGGGUUGUAAAGCUCUUUUGUCAGGGAAGAAACGGUGAGAGCUAAUAUCUCUUGCUAAUGACGGUACCUGAAGAAUAAGCACCGGCUAACUACGUGCCAGCAGCCGCGGUAAUACGUAGGGUGCAAGCGUUAAUCGGAAUUACUGGGCGUAAAGCGUGCGCAGGCGGUUUUGUAAGUCUGAUGUGAAAUCCCCGGGCUCAACCUGGGAAUUGCAUUGGAGACUGCAAGGCUAGAAUCUGGCAGAGGGGGGUAGAAUUCCACGUGUAGCAGUGAAAUGCGUAGAUAUGUGGAGGAACACCGAUGGCGAAGGCAGCCCCCUGGGUCAAGAUUGACGCUCAUGCACGAAAGCGUGGGGAGCAAACAGGAUUAGAUACCCCAGUAGUCCCA
rnacentral:rRNA from 1 species